AUAUCCAAUUUUAUCUCUUCUCCAUCCUCUUUACUUAGCCGAAAAUGUCCACCUGCUCCACUCUCUCCUCUACCAAAUACAUCCAUAAAUUCAUUGGAGUUCGCCAUUGUCAUCCUUGUCUAUGCUACUCCACUAAUUAGUUUGAACACUUUGAAUUUGGGCAGCUUUAUUGACCUCGCACUACCAAAAUCCCUAAUUCGGUUGUAACACUGGCUUGGUGGCAAGAAAUCAGAAUUUAGGGCAUGAAAAUUAGGAGAAAGCUGCAGUUUAGAGCUUGAAACUUGGGGGAAAACAAGAGUUUAGGAAUUGAAGGCAUGACUUGAGCUACCAAAGUAUUGUGGGAUAUUCCUUGUGGUUCUCUUCUGGUUUACAUGUCUUGCAUUUUACUCCUUUUAUUGUCUGCAGUGUCAUUGCUCUUGGUUUGUUGAGGCUUGAGUUUCAGUCCACCUUGAUAUUGAUCACGAGGAGUCUGUUGGAUAUGAUGAUAGAGUGGUUGAAGUCUGACAUUGGUGGUGCAAUCUAUGUUUUAGUUUAGAAAUCUAGUACUCUAUUUUUUGGAAAGGAUAUGUAUUGGCCAUUAGUGCUUGAACUGAUUAUGUGAGUUUUGGGAUCCAAUAUUUUUGGUUGACUUCUAUUUUGAUGAAUUUACAGAUGUUUAUGGCCAUAUA